rnacentral:rRNA from 1 species
GAGCGUCCGAUGACAUUUUAGGUAGUGGGUGGGCUAAAAGCUUACCAAGCUUACGAUCUGUAGGUGAUCUGAGAGGACGAUCAGCCACACUGGGACUGAGACACGGCCCAGACUCAUACGGGAGGCAGCAGUGGGGAAUUUUGGACAAUGGGGGAAACCCUGAUCCAGCAAUGCCGCGUGCAGGAUGAAGGUCUUCGGGUUGUAAACUGCUUUUGUACGGAACGAAAAGUCUUGGGUUAAUACCCUGGGAUCAUGACGGUACCGUAAGAAUAAGCACCGGCUAACUACGUGCCAGCAGCCGCGGUAAUACGUAGGGUGCAAGCGUUAAUCGGAAUUACUGGGCGUAAAGCGUGCGCAGGCGGUUUUGUAAGACAGUGGUGAAAUCCCCGGGCUCAACCUGGGAACUGCCAUUGUGACUGCAAGGCUGGAGUGCGGCAGAGGGGGAUGGAAUUCCGCGUGUAGCAGUGAAAUGCGUAGAUAUGCGGAGGAACACCGAUGGCGAAGGCAAUCCCCUGGGCCUGCACUGACGCUCAUGCACGAAAGCGUGGGGAGCAAACAGGAUUAGAUACCCUGGUAGUCCACGCCCUAAA